CCUCUUCGGAGUGGCAGCGGCGGACGGGUGAGUAACACGUGGGCAACCUGCCUGUAAGACUGGGAUAACUCCGGGAAACCGGAGCUAAUACCGGAUACUAUGUCAAACCGCAUGGUUUGACAUUCAAAGACGGUUUCGGCUGUCACUUACAGAUGGGCCCGCGGCGCAUUAGCUAGUUGGUGAGGUAAUGGCUCACCAAGGCGACGAUGCGUAGCCGACCUGAGAGGGUGAUCGGCCACACUGGGACUGAGACACGGCCCAGACUCCUACGGGAGGCAGCAGUAGGGAAUCUUCCGCAAUGGACGAAAGUCUGACGGAGCAACGCCGCGUGAGUGAUGAAGGUUUUCGGAUCGUAAAACUCUGUUGUCAGGGAAGAACAAGUGCCGGAGUAACUGCCGGCACCUUGACGGUACCUGACCAGAAAGCCACGGCUAACUACGUGCCAGCAGCCGCGGUAAUACGUAGGUGGCAAGCGUUGUCCGGAAUUAUUGGGCGUAAAGCGCGCGCAGGCGGUUUCUUAAGUCUGAUGUGAAAGCCCCCGGCUCAACCGGGAAGGGUCAUUGGAAACUGGGAAACUUGAGUGCAGAAGAGGACAGUGGAAUUCCACGUGUAGCGGUGAAAUGCGUAGAGAUGUGGAGGAACACCACUGACGAAGGCGACUCUCUGGUCUGUAACUGACGCUGAGGCGCGAAAGCGUGGGGAGCGAACAGGAUUAUAUACCCUGGUAGUCCACGCCAUAAACGAUAAGUGCUAACUGUUAGAGGGUUUCCGCCCUUUAGUGCUGCAGCUAA
rnacentral:rRNA from 2 species